GACGAACGCUGGCGGCGUGCUUAACACAUGCAAGUCGAACGAUGAAGCCUUAGCUUGCUUUGGUGGAUUAGUGGCGAACGGGUGAGUAACACGUGAGCAACGUGCCCAGGACUCUGGAAUAACCGCGGGAAACCGUGGCUAAUACCGGAUAGGUGCCGAGGCCGCAUGGUCUUCGGUUGGAAAGUUUUUGCGGUUCUGGAUCGGCUCACGGCCUAUCAGCUUGUUGGUGGGGUAAUGGCCUACCAAGGCGACGACGGGUAGCCGGCCUGAGAGGGUGACCGGCCCACUGGGAAAGGGGCAACGGCCGAGGCCCCUACGGGGGGGAGCGGGGGGGAGAGUUGACCAAGGGGGGAAAGCGUGAUGCAGAAACGCGGGGGGGGGGAGGCCGGCCUUCGGGUGGUAAACAUCUUUUGGGAGGAAAGAAGCGAAAGUGACGGUACUUGUAAAAAAAGCACCGGCUAACUACGU
rnacentral:rRNA from 1 species